UACGUAGGCAGCGAGCGUUGUUCGGAGUUACUGGGCGUAAAGCGUGCGUAGGCGGUUUUCUAAGUUUGGUGUGAAAUCUCCCGGCUUAACCGGGAGGGUGCGCCGAAAACUGGAAGACUGGAGUGUCGGAGAGGUAAGCGGAAUUCCUGGUGUAGCGGUGAAAUGCGUAGAGAUCAGGAGGAACACCUGUGGUGUAGACAGCUUGCUGGACGAUAACUGACGCUGAGGCACGAAAGCGUGGGUAGCAAACAGG
rnacentral:rRNA from 1 species